CUACUGUUGAGGAGUCCUACAAUAGGACGAAACGGUCGUCCAGUAC
rnacentral:hammerhead_ribozyme from 1 species